CGCCCUUCCACCACGUCACGCACGUUUCGGUUCAGCACCGAGGACUGCCGCCCCAAUCCUGUACGCCUUUUACUCGCCGGUUGUUUAAAUCCGACUGUGUUUAAUGGGGCUCGGCUUCCUCCAACUAUUCCUGAAACCUGCAGAACCCCUGAAGGUACUUUUUCUUCUCAGUCCUGGGCUCGAUGGUUUACUGGAUGCCCACUGCAGCAUGGCUCAGAUCCCACCACCAUCUUUUGUUUUUUGUCCACCCUAUGAGAACCUGCGCUCCCUGGAAACAAUGGAGGGUCUAUUUCUGCAAUUCCAUCCUCACCAUACAAAGCCCUGAUUUUACUCCAACAAAACCAUAUUACUUUACUGCAUGGGUCCUGAAGGCCAGAGAAUAUAUAGUCAUUCCCCCUUACCUGCCAGCUUGGAAGGGUAUGCCUAUUUUUAUGAAGCUGCUCUUCAAGUCUUAGAUGUUUAUUUCAACCCUGCUUUGAAUGUGAUUGCUAAACGUUUUAUUCUAGAUCCCAGCUGCCUGGUGAAUCUAUCAAUCAGUAUAUCACAGCAUUGUGUGCCUUAAGUGUAACCUGUGAGUUUGCCAGCUUUACUGAUGAAAUGAUCAGAAAUCAGAUUGUUAUGAAAACAAACUGCUCCAUACAGCAUGAAAAAUUGCUAUUGGAGCAGAAACUUACCUUGGAUAAAGUUACAAAGACGGCUAGGAGGGUGGGAAAUGUUCUUCAUUGUGCCAAAUUGCUCUCUUUGGUACCCCAAAACCCACCUCCUGAAAUCCAGGUUGUUCAGUCUAAAUCCUUCCAAACGCAUUCUCCUCAUAUGGCACUGCCCCAGAAAGUGGCAGCACCACAAGAAAGGAGGCGCACCAAUGUGGAGACUCUGCUCACAAAGCCAAUUUUGCUCGCUAUCCUACACGAAAGGCCAUUUGCAACAAGUGCAAAAAAUGGGGGCAAAUCUUUGCUAAGGUUUGCAAGUCUGUUGUCCACCCUGUUAAGGAGUCUGAUCUCAAGAGAGGAACUGAAGAGGAAUUUGAUCUUGCCUCCAGUUUUGACCUUGCAGAUGAAGCUGAUGAAAGUGAUGGACUUUCAUACCAGAAGACCAAACAGCUCCUAUGCCAGAGAACCCUUUUGCUGUUUGGAUUCCCAACAAAUCCUGCGUUCUCAUGACAUGCUCCAUGAGAAAGUGCAUACUGUCAGGUUCUCUGGUUUUCAUUUAAGCAACAUGCCAAUCAUGUGAAUCAGGCAGCCCACUAUGUACCUAGUCACCACACAAGUGUUAUACUUAUCUUGUGGCAGCUUCAUUGAUUUCCUGCUCUCUUCCAGGCCAGAUUCCAAUUGCUGGUUUUGACUUUUAAAGCCUUACACGACUUGGAGGAACCAGGGUACCUAUCAGGCCACAUUUGCUCAUAUGAAUCUGUCAAUCUCCUUUGAUAUUCAUCACAGGACCUACUCUUGGUGUGCCACGGAUGCAGAUUCAGUUGGUGGAGACCAGAAACAGGGUCUUUUCGGUGGUAGCCCUCCUCUUUGGAAUGCCCUCCCCCAAGUGUUUCACCAGCCUCCCACCUUGAUACAUUCUUUAAAGAACUUGCAAACUCUUCUUUUCCAAUAAAUGUUUUAAAACUAGUUUUAGUCAGAUUUCUAGUUGUAACCAGUUUUAGACUCAUGUGAUAUUGCCCACAUCUUGACUCUUAUUUUGUUUUAUUGUAAGAUACUUCAAACAACAGUGUGCUGGAAGAGGGGGAUAUAAAUAUUUAUAAAUAAUACAUUAUUUAGUGGGGAGAGAGUCUCUCUCCAGUGCCUGUUAUUGGUGACGGUGGCAGCGGCAAUGUGCGUUUAAGACUGUGAGCCCUUUUCUUAUACCUUGUGCUAUGUAAACUGCUUGAGAACUUUUUUUGUUGAAAAGCCGUAUAUUAACAUUCUCAAUAGUAAUACUGAGACCAGUGGCCUACAUCGGGAGCUUUUGUAACAAUUACCAAGAUAAUAGAUGUGAAGUGUAUUGAACACUUGAAAUGCACUAUGUAAAUAAUAAAUAUUCUUACUAUUGUA